rnacentral:rRNA from 1 species
GACGAACGCUGGCGGCGUGCUUAACACAUGCAAGUCGAACGGAAAGGCCCUGCUUUUGUGGGGUGCUCGAGUGGCUAACGGGUGAGUAACACGUGAGUAACCUGCCCUUGACUUUGGGAUAACUUCAGGAAACUGGGGCUAAUACCGGAUAGGAGCUCCUGCUGCAUGGUGGGGGUUGGAAAGUUUCGGCGGUUGGGGAUGGACUCGCGGCUUAUCAGCUUGUUGGUGGGGUAAUGGCUUACCAAGGCUUUGACGGGUAGCCGGCCUGAGAGGGUGACCGGCCACAUUGGGACUGAGAUACGGCCCAGACUCCUACGGGAGGCAGCAGUGGGGAAUAUUGCACAAUGGGCGGAAGCCUGAUGCAGCAACGCCGCGUGCGGGAUGACGGCCUUCGGGUUGUAAACCGCUUACGCCUGUGACGAAGCGUGAGUGACGGUAAUGGGUAAAGAAGCACCGGCUAACUACGUG